rnacentral:rRNA from 1 species
CCCUUAGAUGUUCUGGGCCGCACACGCGCUACACUGAAGGAGGCAGCGUGUACUCCUGGAUCGAAAGAUUUGGGUAACCCGCGAAUCUCCUUCGUGCUAGGGAUUGAGGUUUGCAAUUAUCCUUCAUGAACGAGGAAUUCCCAGUAAGUGCAAGUCAUAAGCUUGCGCUGACUACGUCCCUGCCCUUUUUACACACCGCCCGUCGCUACUACCGAUUGAAUGAUUUAGUGAGGACUUCGGACUGGGACCGAUGCGGCUUUCGGGCUGCGUCGGUAUUCUGGAAAGAUGUCCAAACUGUAUCAUUUAGAGGAAGUAAAANUCGUAACA